UACGGAGGGUGCGAGCGUUGUCCGGAAUCACUGGGCGUAAAGGGCGCGUAGGCGGCCUGAUAAGUAGGGGGUGAAAUCCUGCGGCUUAACCGCAGGGCUGCCUUCUAAACUGUCAGGCUAGAGCACAGUAGAGGCAGGUGGAAUUCCCGGUGUAGCGGUGAAAUGCGCAGAUAUCGGGAGGAACACCAAUUGCGAAGGCAGCUCGCUGGGACGUUACUGACGCUGAGACGCGAAAGCGUGGGGAGCAAACAGG
rnacentral:rRNA from 1 species